CUUCCGGGUGUGGCGCGGGUCCGCGGCCGACGCCCGCUCGCGUCGGGUGGGCGAGGUCGUCGGGUUCGACGACCCGUUCGGCAACC
rnacentral:tRNA from 1 species